CGCACGGGUGAGUAACACGUAUCCAACCUGCCGUCUACUCUUGGACAGCCUUCUGAAAGGAAGAUUAAUACAAGAUGGCAUCAUGAGUUCACAUGUUCACAUGAUUAAAGGUAUUCCGGUAGACGAUGGGGAUGCGUUCCAUUAGAUAGUAGGCGGGGUAACGGCCCACCUAGUCUUCGAUGGAUAGGGGUUCUGAGAGGAAGGUCCCCACAUUGGAACUGAGACACGGUCCAA
rnacentral:rRNA from 1 species